rnacentral:rRNA from 1 species
AGGAUGAACGCUGGCGGCGUGCUUAACACAUGCAAGUCGAACGAUGAAGGCUGGAGCUUGCUCUGGCUGGAUUAGUGGCGAACGGGUGAGUAACACGUGAGUAACCUGCCCCAGACUCUGGGAUAAGCGCUGGAAACGGCGUCUAAUACCGGAUACGAGCUUCCACCGCAUGGUGAGGAGCUGGAAAGAAUUUCGGUCUGGGAUGGACUCGCGGCCUAUCAGCUUGUUGGUGAGGUAAUGGCUCACCAAGGCGACGACGGGUAGCCGGCCU